AUUGAACGCUGGCGGCAUGCCCUACACAUGCAAGUCGAACGGUAACAGGUCUUCGGAUGCUGACGAGUGGCGAACGGGUGAGUAAUACAUCGGAACGUGCCCGAGAGUGGGGGAUAACGAGGCGAAAGCUUUGCUAAUACCGCAUACGAUCUCAGGAUGAAAGCAGGGGACCGCAAGGCCUUGCGCUCACGGAGCGGCCGAUGGCAGAUUAGGUAGUUGGUGGGAUAAAAGCUUACCAAGCCGACGAUCUGUAGCUGGUCUGAGAGGACGACCAGCCACACUGGGACUGAGACACGGCCCAGACUCCUACGGGAGGCAGCAGUGGGGAAUUUUGGACAAUGGGCGCAAGCCUGAUCCAGCCAUGCCGCGUGCAGGAUGAAGGCCUUCGGGUUGUAAACUGCUUUUGUACGGAACGAAAAGACUCUGGUUAAUACCUGGGGUCCAUGACGGUACCGUAAGAAUAAGCACCGGCUAACUACGUGCCAGCAGCCGCGGUAACAC
rnacentral:rRNA from 1 species